rnacentral:rRNA from 1 species
AGGACGAACGCUGGCGGCGUGCUUAAUACAUGCAAGUCUAAGGGUUUAUCUUCCUUCGGGAAGAUAGACACUGGCGCACGGGUGAGUAACACGUAAGUCAUCUGCCCUUGGGUCUGGCACAACUCCGGGAAACCGGGGCUAAUUCCAGAUGAUACCGAAAGGUCAAAGUUUCGACGCCCAAGGAUGAGCUUGCGUCUGAUUAGCUAGUUGGCGGGGUAACGCCCACCAAGGCGACGAUCAGUAGCCGGUCUGAGAGGAUGAUCGGCCACAUUGGGACUGAGACACGGCCCAGACUCCUACGGAGGCAGCAGUAAGAAUAUUGCGCAAUGGACGAAAGUCUGAACGCAGCAACGCCGCGUGCAGGAUGACGGCCCUUUGGGUAGUAAACUGCUGGUAGCGAAGGGGAAAUAAGGAGCCCACGUCGGUGGGUGUGAAGGUACCCUAGGAAAGUAAGCUCCGGACUAACUACGUGCCAGCAGCCGC